rnacentral:lncRNA from 1 species
GUUCUUAGGAGGCUUAACUGUACUAGUGCCUGGCACAAAUUAUAUUUCCAACAAAUAUAGCUUUAUUUUUAUUCACGCCAUGGUUUUGCUCACUCAGAGUUAUUUAUAUUUUAAAGUUACCAGCAAGGAAUUAGACACUGUCCCAAAGAACGAGUUCUGGUUUGGAGCAUUAAGAACUUUCCCACGUCGUAGCCUUGCUGGUUUAGUGGUCUGGUGGUUUAUAUGAAUGGAGCCCUCAGGCAAUAUUGGGUACAGAUUUAAAUGCAAAAUAGAAUCUUGAUUUUUUUAAAAUAAUAUUUCCACAGCCUUUCCAAUUUAUACCUUUUUGGUGAUUUUUAUUUUAUGUUUGCUUACAGAUGAUCAGAAAUGCUUUACUUGAUAUUGACUAUGUCCUAGUAAAUAUGUGCAUGCCUGUUCUGUCUAGAGGCCCCACAUCACUGGAUAGUUGGUGUCUAGAUUGUCUGGUUGAGGCUUUUACCUUGACUAAAACAAACCACAAUAAUGAAGUUUUUUUUUCCUGUUCUACAGGGAACACAAAAGAUGUUAUGGGUCUCAUGGGGCCAAGCUGGAUCCGCAGAAGUAUAACAGAUAUGGUGAUAUUCUGGUGCACUUUCCUGGGACACAUGCUGAUUUGGAGUUUAGAGAUGUUCGUCACUGAUGCUAAAUAUUAAGCAAACUGGUAGUGGGGAAAAGAUGAAGAUCCACUGCAUCCUUGGUGGUCACGGAAAUUCAGAGAUUGUCCAUCUUGAACCAAGGAAGAAAUGAGGGAGAACUAAACAAACAAACAAAAAUACCUGUGCGUAAGAAUUGACUGGCCUUUGAUGAGAAAUCACAGGUCAAAACAAAGCUCUCUAUUUAAGAUUUACUACCUUAACUUGGAUUCUGUAUUCCUUUGUUUUUAUAAUGUUCAAAAUUCAAACAUCUGACUUUGGCAUUUAGGCUAUACUACUUGAGAUUUAAAAAAAAAUCUAAUUGACAUUUUUAAAUUUUAGUUUUUGAGGCUUAAUUUACGUAGAAUGAAAUGUGCUGCAAAAUUCAAAGAGUGCUAUGCAUUUUGAAAAAUCAUUCAAUCAUGUAAACACCAUCAAAAUCAGGAUACAGAACAAUCCCAUCAUACUCUCCCCUCCAAAUUCCCUUGUGCUGUCUCUGUUCCAAGCUUCUGGAAACUACCGAUAUGUUUUCUGUCAAUGUUGUCAACAGUUUUUUAUUUUCCAAAAUGUCAUAUAAAUGUAAUCAUAGCCUUUUGAAUAUGGCUUCUUUCACUCAAUGUAACUAUUUUGAGAUUUAUCCGUGUUGUUGCAUGUAGUUCAUACUUUUUAUUGUUCUGUAGUAUUUCAUUUUAUGGUAUUCAGAGUUUGUUUAUAUCCGUUCAUCAGGUGAAAGACAUUUGGGUUGUAUUCAGUUUUUUUGUGAUUUUGAAUAAAGCCACUAUUAAUUACUCA